rnacentral:lncRNA from 11 species
AAAUACUGAGAAAUCUUAGCACAGAAAUGUUGAAUAGAAGCAUGCAAAGACAGAAUGGAGCUUCCAUUAUCUGCAAGUCAGCCAGCUGAGGAGGAAUUCAGAAGGAGGAUGAGGAAGAAGAGGAGGGAAGGAUGAAUGUAGAAGCUUGAACAUUGAAUGUGCACAUCUGAAAAGCAACAUAUGUUUGUUGAAUCAACUUGAACAUUAAAUAGUCCAACUGAUUGUUUUAGCCAAUCAGGUAGAUGAAUACCCACC